AACGCAUAUUGCGCCCCUUGGUAUUCCGGGGGGCACACCUGUUCGAGAGCCAUUACAACCCUCAAGUUAGCUUGGUGUUGGGUAAAGUCCUAGGGGACCUACCCGUAACUUGUAGGCGGUCACCGUCCGCUCCUUCAGCGUAGCAAGCUUCACGCAUUCGCUCUAGGACGGUAUGUGGCUAUACCUCAAAAUUCCUAAGGUUUGGCCUCGGAUCAGGUGGGGAUACCCGCUGAACUUAA
rnacentral:misc_RNA from 1 species